rnacentral:rRNA from 1 species
AUCAAAACUUUCAACAACGGAUCUCUUGGCUCUGGCAUCGAUGAAGAACGCAGCGAAAUGCGAUACGUAAUGUGAAUUGCAGAAUUCAGCGAACCAUCGAAUCUUUGAACGCACAUUGCGCCCGCCAGUAUUCUGGCGGGCAUGCCUGUCCGAGCGUCA